rnacentral:rRNA from 1 species
UACGUAGGGAGCGAGCGUUGUCCGGAUUUAUUGGGCGUAAAGCGCGCGUAGGCGGUUUCGUAGUCGGGUGUGAAAACUCCAAGCUCAACUUGGAGCCUGCAUCCGAAACUGCGAUGACUCGAGUCAGGUAGGGGAACACGGAAUUCCAGGUGUAGCGGUGAAAUGCUUAGUAGAUCUGGAGGAAUACCAAGUGGCGAAGG